CCUACGGGAGGCAGCAGUAGGGAAUCUUCCACAAUGGGCGCAAGCCUGAAGGAGCAAUACCGCGUGAGUGAAGAAGGGUUUCGGCUCGUAAAGCUCUGUUGUGGGGGAAGAAAGUGAGUAACAGUAACUGUUCACGCAGUGACGGUAUCCAACCAGAAAGUCACGGCUAACUACGUGCCAGCAGCCGCGGUAAUACGUAGGUGGCAAGCAUUAUCCGGAUUGAUUGGGCGUAAAGCGAGCGCAGGCGGUUGCUAAGGUCUGAUGUGAAACCCAUCGGCUGAACUGAAGAAGUGCAUCGGAAACCGGGCGACUUCAGGGCAGGAGAGGACAGUGGAACUCCAGGUGUAGCGGUUGAAUGCGUAGAUAUAUGGAAGAACACCAGUGGCGAAGGCGGCUGUCUGGUCUGCAACUGACGCUGAGGCUCGAAAGCGUGGGUAGCAAACAGGAUUAGAUACCCUAGUAGUC
rnacentral:rRNA from 1 species